UUAAAGGAGUAGGUCCGGUAAGGAUCAAUUUUGGCCUCAAAUUUCAAGUUCAUCUGACGAAUGAAUUUGACCUCUUUUUAAACACUUAAGUGUCUUUUUCAUUUGAAUCAAUUAGUUUAUGUGAAAGAUUUUAACUGGUUUAGUCAUUGAAAACGAUCCGAUUCAAGCUCAAAUAUGAAAAAUCUACCAAAUAUGUCAAAAA
rnacentral:lncRNA from 1 species